rnacentral:rRNA from 1 species
AUUGACCUCGGAUCAGGUAGGGAUACCCGCUGAACUUAAGCAUAUCAAUAAGCGGGAGGAAG